rnacentral:rRNA from 1 species
AUUGAACGCUGGCGGAAUGCUUUACACAUGCAAGUCGAACGGUAGAGGGGGCAACCCCUCGAGAGUGGCGAACGGGUGAGUAAUAUAUCGGAACGUGCCCAGUCGUGGGGGAUAACGUAGCGAAAGUUACGCUAAUACCGCAUACGAUCUAAGGAUUAAAGCGGGGGAUCGCAAGACCGCGCGCGAUUGGAGCGGGCGAUAUCAGAUUAGGUAGUUGGUGGGGUAAAGGCUCACCAAGCCAACGAUCUGUAGCUGGUCUGAGAGGACGACCAGCCACACUGGAACUGAGACACGGUCCAGACUCCUACGGGAGGCAGCAGUGGGGAAUUUUGGACAAUGGACGCAAGUCUGAUCCAGCCAUUCCGCGUGCAGGAUGAAGGCCCUCGGGUUGUAAACUGCUUUUGUACGGAACGAAAAGGUCUCUCUUAAUACGAGGGGCUCAUGACGGUACCGUAAGAAUAAGCACCGGCUAACUACGUGCCAGCAGCCGCGGUAA